ensembl:lncRNA
UUGCAAUUAUGUUAGCAUAGCUGAAAACUGUUGUCCUGAAUUACUGAAGCAAUAAAACUGGCCUUUAGACUAGUUGAGUAUCAAUGUUUGUGGGUUCGAUUACAUGCUCAAAAUGGCUAGAAACAAAGAACUUUCUUCUGAAACUCGUCAGUCUAUUCUUGUUCUGAGAAAUUAACUUAUUUGGGGUAGGGGGCAGUAUUGGGUAGCUUGGAUGAAAAACGUGCCCAAAUUAAGCUGCCUGCUACUCAGACGUAAAAGCUAGAAUAUGAAUAUAAUUAAUAUAUUUGGAUAGAAAACACUCUGACGUUUCUAAAACUGUUUGAAUGAUGUCUGUGAGUAUAACAGAACUCAUAUGGCAGGCAAAAACCUGAGAAAAAAUCCAACCAGGAAGUGGGAAAUCUGAGGUUUGUAGUUUUUCAACUCAGCCCCCAUUGAAGAUACAGUGGGAUAUUAGUUAUGUUUCACUUCCCACGGCUUCCACUAGAUGUCAACAGUAUUUAGAACCUGUUUUGAAGAUUAUACUCUAAAGAACGGGCUCAUAAGAGUUCUUUGAGUGAGUGGUCUGGCAGAGUGCCACAGCCUCGGUCAGGCGCGCUCACGUGAAAUGUUCCACUUCAUUUUUACAGACAAAGGAAUUGUCCGGUUGGAACAUUAAUAAAGUUUUAUGUUAAAAACAUCCUAAAGAUUAAUUCCAUACUUAGUUUGGCAUGUUUCUACGGGCUGUAACGGAACUUUUUGAACUUUUCGUUCGGCGCGAACUGAACGCGCUUUUGGAUUUGUUUACCAAACGCCCUAACAAAAGAAGAUAUUUGGACAUAACUGGUGGACAUUAUCGAACAAAUUAAACAUUUAUGGUGGAACUGGGAUUCCUGGGAGUGCAUUCUGAUGAAGAUCAGCAAAGGUAAGUGAAUAUUUAAAAUGCUUUUUCUGAGUAAUGUUGACUACCCAAUAUGGUGGGUAUCUUUUGGCUGCUUUGUUGUCUAAAGGCUGUACUCAGAUUAUUGCAUGGUUUGCUUUCUCCGUAAAGUUUUUUUUUUUAAAUCUGACACAGCGGUUGCAUUAAGGAGAAAUUUAUCUAAAGUUCCAUGUAUAAUUUAUCAAUGUUUAUUAUGAGUAUUUCUGUCAUUUGAUGUGCCUCUCUGCACAAUCACCGCAUGUUUUAGAACUACUAAACGUAACGCGCCAAUGUAAACUCAGAUUUUUUUUAUAUAAAUAUGAACUUUAUCAAACAAAACAUACAUGUAUUGUGUAACAUGAAGUCCUAUGAGUGUCAUCUGAUGAAGAUCAUCAUAUUUCUGCUUUUUGUGACUCCUCUCUAUGGCUGGAAAAAUGGCUGUGUUUUUCUGUGGCUGGGUGGUGACCUAACAUAAUCGUUUGUGGUACUUUCACUGUAAAUCCUUUUGGAAAUCAGACACGGUGGCUGGAUUAAUGAGAAUUUUAUCUUUAAAAUGGUGUAAAAUACUUGUAUGCUUGAGGAAUUUUAAUUAUGAGAUUUUUGUUGUUUUGAAUUUGGCGCCAUGCACUUUUCACUGGCUAUUGCGGAGGGGUUCCGCUACACUCUAAUGUACUUGUCCUCUUGUUCAGUUGUGCACCGGGGCCUCCCACUCCUUUCUUUUCUGGUUAGAUCCAGUUUGCGCUGUUCUGUGAAGGGAGUAGUACAGCGUUAUACGAGAUCUUCAGUUUCUUGACAAAUUCUUGCAUGGAAUAGCCUUCAUUUCCCAGAACAAGAAUAGACUGACGAGUUUCAGAAGAAAGUACUUUGUUUCUAGCCAUUUUGAGCCUGUAAUCAAACCCACAAAUGCUG